GGAGCCGUAGCGAAAGCGAGUUUUAACUGAGCGUUCAGUUACUUGACGUAGACCCGAAACCGGGCGACCUACCCAUGAGCAGGAUGAAGCGAAAGUAAAAUUUCGUGGAGGUCCGAACCCACGAGCGUUGAAAAGCUCGGGGAUGACUUGUGGGUAGCGGUGAAAUUCCAAUCGAGCCCGGAGAUAGCUGGUUCUCCCCGAAAUAGCUUUAGGGCUAGCCUCAAGGUGAGAGAUACGGAGGUAGAGCACUGAAUGUCCUAGGGGGUAUUGCACCUACCGAAGACUAUCAAACUCCGAAUGCCGUCAUCUUAUACUUGGGAGUCAGACUGUGGGUGAUAAGAUUCAUAGUCGAAAGGGCAACAGCCCAGAUCGUCAGCUAAGGUCCCUAAAUGUAAGUUAAGUGGUAAAGGAUGUGGGAUUGCACAGACAACCAGGAUGUUGGCUUAGAAGCAGCCACUCAUUCAAAGAGUGCGUAAUAGCUCACUGGUCGAGUGAUCCUGCGCCGAAGAUUUCCGGGGCUAAAACUUACUACCGAAGCUACGGCAUCAGUAAUGAUGGGUAGGGGAGCUUCCCAUACGGGUUGAAGCAUGACCGUAAGGACAUGUGGACAGUAUGGGAGUGAGAAUGUUGGCAUGAGUAGCGAGAUGUGGGUGAGAAUCCCACAGGCCGUAAACCCAAGGUUUCCAGGGGAAGGUUCGUCCGCCCUGGGUUAGUCGGGACCUAAGCUGAGGCCGAAAGGCGUAGGUGAUGGACAACAGGUUGAUAUUCCUGUACUACCGAUAACCGUUUGAGAGAAGGGAUGACACAGUAGGAUAAGCUAAGCACACUGUUGGUUAUGUGUGCCCAAGCAUUGAGGCAGUCAAAGUAGGCAAAUCCGCUUUGAUAAUGCUGGGAUGUGAUGGGGAGCGAAAUUUAGUAGCGAAGUAGCUGAUUUCACACUGUCAAGAAAAGUCUCUAUCGAGGUUAAAGGUACCCGUACCGCAAACCGACACAGGUG
rnacentral:rRNA from 1 species